rnacentral:rRNA from 1 species
CGGCGAGUGAGCGGCAAAGCUCAAUUUGAAUCUGGCGCCUUCGGUGUCCGAGUUGUAAUUUGAAGAUUGUAACCUUGGGGUUGGCUCUUGUCUAUGUUUCUUGGAACAGGACGUCACAGAGGGUGAGAAUCCCGUGCGAUGAGAUGCCCAAUUCUAUGUAAGGUGCUUUCGAAGAGUCGAGUUGUUUGGGAAUGCAGCUCUAAGUGGGUGGUAAAUUCCAUCUAAAGCUAAAUAUUGGCGAGAGACCGAUAGCGAACAAGUACAGUGAUGGAAAGAUGAAAAGAACUUUGAAAAGAGAGUGAAAAAGUACGUGAAAUUGUUGAAAGGGAAGGGUUUGAGAUCAGACUCGAUAUUUUGUGAGCCUUGCCUUCGUGGCGGGGUGACCCGCAGCUUAUCGGGCCAGCAUCGGUUUGGGCGGUAGGAUAAUGGCGUAGGAAUGUGACUUUACUUCGGUGAAGUGUUAUAGCCUGCGUUGAUGCUGCCUGCCUAGACCGAGGACUGCGAUUUUAUCAAGGAUGCUGGCAUAAUGAUCCCAAACCGCCCGUCUUGAACAACGGGACC